ACGUAGGUGGCAAGCGUUGUCCGGAUUUAUUGGGCGUAAAGCGAGCGCAGGCGGUCUUUUAAGUCUGAUGUGAAAGCCCCCGGCUUAACCGGGGAGGGUCAUUGGAAACUGGGAGACUUGAGUGCAGAAGAGGAAAGCGGAAUUCCAUGUGUAGCGGUGAAAUGCGUAGAUAUAUGGAGGAACACCAGUGGCGAAGGCGGCUUUCUGGUCUGUAACUGACGCUGAGGCUCGAAAGCGUGGGGAGCAAACAG
rnacentral:rRNA from 1 species